ensembl:lncRNA
CCUCCAUCGGACACUUGUUUUUUGUUUUUUCCUUUAUUAUUUUCGGAGUAAAUCCUGGGCGGGGAUCGAGUUCCCCGACGGAGGUAGGCGUUUCAGGACUCCGGUCGCUGAAGUUUUGCCUUUCAAGUCGCCUCGAGCCCGGCACGCUCCAGAAGAUAGACAGAGAAGCUGUCCGGGGGGAGCAGGAAAAAACUCUGGAGACUACUGCCCCCGGCGAGGCAUCUACUUCCCUGGUUUGUUUGGAAUCCUGGUCUUACGAUGGUUUGGCGGUACUGGCCAGUGAUCAGCAGAGUGGUAGGCUGUCUAACACAGAGUUCUUGUCGAAAAUAGACACCCAUCUGAACCAUCUACCUGUAGAUAGGCGACAGGAGAUAGUUUCUUUGUUGCGCUCCCAUCUGUCCCUGUUUAGUGACGUACCAUCUAGCACCAACGUAUCAAAACAUGACAUCGAUGUGGGUACUGCAUCUCCCAUUAAACAGCAUGCAUACCGUUGUCCACUAGCCAAAAGAGAGCUGAUGAAAAAGGAAGCUGAUUAUCUGUUGGAAAAUGGUUUAGCUGUACCUAGCUGUAGUCCUUGGAGUUCCCCUUGUUUGCUGGCUCCUAAAUCUGAUUGCACCUCACGGUUUUGUACCGACUAUCGUAACUUGGUUAAUGCAGUUACGGUGUCAGACUCAUUUCCUUUGCCUCGCAUUGAGGACUGUAUCGAUAGUAUUGGGCCGGCCACAUUUAUUACAAAGCUCGAUCUGCUGAAAGGUUACUGGCAGGUUCCAUUAACACCAAGAGCCUCUGAGAUCUCAGCAUUUGUUACCCCAGACCACUUCCUGCAGUAUACCGUUAUGCCAUUUGGGGUGAGGAAUGCACCUGCCACAUUUCAGCGGCUGAUGAACCUGGUGCUAGGGAAUGUCAGGAACUGUAGUGUUUAACUUGAUGAUGUCGUCGUGUACUCAAGCGAUUGGGCCAGUCAUGUUGCUAGCUUGACGGCAGUGUUUGAGCGGCUUGUGGAAGCAUCCUUGACCCUUAACCUAGCCAAAUGCGAGUUUGGUAAAGCCAUGGUUACAUACUUGGGGAAGCAGGUCGGCCACGGGCAGGUCCGGGCCGUAGACGCUAAAAUCUCGGCCGUGCUGUCCUAUCCGGUUCCCACGUCAAGGCGUGAACUACGACGGUGUUUGGGUAUGGCUGGUUAUUACUGUUUUUUUUGCAAAAACUUCUCAGUGGUAGUUCAUCCUCUAACCAGUCUGUGUAGCACUAGGAUUCCAUUUGUAUGGAGUACUGAGUGUCAAUAUGCCUUUGAGGCAGCCAAGUCUCUUCUCUGCAGUGCACCUGUCCUGGCGGCGCCUAAUUUCUUCUGUCCUUUUAAGCUGGAGGUUGAUGCGAGUGCUUCAGAAGCUGGUGCUGUGCUAAUACAGGAUGGGGAGGGUGACGUGUGUCAUCCAGUGUGCUACUUCUUGGUCAAGUUCAAACGUCAUCAGCUAAAAUAUUCCACGAUUGAAAAGGAGACCCUAGCUAAGCUCGCGCUUCAACACUUUGAAGUAUAUGUUGGUGCCAGUCCGUCUCCCGUGGUUGUAUACACAGACCAUAACCCUCUUGUCUUUCUGACGCAGAUGUACAACCACAACCAGCGACUGAUGCGUUGGGCCCUAUUGGCGCAAGGUUACAACCUUGAGAUUAGGCACAAGAAGGGGACCGACAAUGUGGUGGCUGAUGCCGUGUCCCGUGGGUAAGAAAGAAGAAGAAAAACAUUAAAAGGGAGGAGAUAAUUCUGAUGAUCCUGAUUCUGUGUAGUGUGCUUUAUCGGGGAUCGUGCUUAAUGUGAUAGCAAACCCUUCAGGCUGCCGUAUCGUAGACUGUCUCCAUCUCACUAUGACAAGCUCCGGAUGGCUUUGAAUGAAAUGGAGG